CGAUGGGCCGACGUCGCAUGCUCCGGCCGCCAUGGCGGCCGCGGGAAUCGAUUGUUUGAUCCUGGCUCAGAUUGAACGCUGGCGGAAUGCUUUACACAUGCAAGUCGAGCGGCAGCGCGGGGCAACCUGGCGGCGAGCGGCGAACGGGUGAGUAACACAUCGGAACAUACCCAGUCGUGGGGGAUAACACUUCGAAAGAAGUGCUAAUACCGCAUACGUCCUGAGGGAGAAGCGGGGGAUCUUCGGACCUCGCGCGAUUGGAGUGGCCGAUGUCAGAUUAGCUAGUUGGUGGGGUAAAGGCCUACCAAGGCGACGAUCUGUAGCUGGUCUGAGAGGACGACCAGCCACACUGGGACUGAGACACGGCCCAGACUCCUACGGGAGGCAGCAGUGGGGAAUUUUGGACAAUGGGGGCAACCCUGAUCCAGCCAUUCCGCGUGAGUGAAGAAGGCCUUCGGGUUGUAAAGCUCUUUCGGCAGGAACGAAACGGCGCGCUCUAACAUAGCGCGUUAAUGACGGUACCUGAAGAAGAAGCACCGGCUAACUACGUGCCAGCAGCCGCGGUAAUACGUAGGGUGCGAGCGUUAAUCGGAAUUACUGGGCGUAAAGCGUGCGCAGGCGGUUGUGUAAGACAGGUGUGAAAUCCCCGGGCUUAACCUGGGAACUGCGCUUGUGACUGCACGGCUAGAGUAUGGCAGAGGGGGGUGGAAUUCCACGUGUAGCAGUGAAAUGCGUAGAGAUGUGGAGGAACACCGAUGGCGAAUGCACCCCCUUGGGCCAAUACUGACGCUCAUGCACGAAAGCU
rnacentral:rRNA from 1 species